rnacentral:rRNA from 1 species
CCUACGGGAGGCAGCAGUCGAGAAUCAUUCACAAUGGGGGAAACCCUGAUGGUGCGACGCCGCGUGGGGGAAUGCAGGUCUUCGGAUUGUAAACCCCUUUCAUGUGGGAGCAAAUUAAAAAGAUAGUACCACAAGAGGAAGAGACGGCUAACACUGUGCCAGCAGCCGCGGUAAUACAGAGGUCUCAAGCGUUGUUCGGAAUAACUGGGCGUGAAGUGUGCGUAGGCUGUUUCGUAAGUCGUGUGUGAAAGGCGCGGGCUCAACCCGCGGAUGGCACAUGAUACUGCGAGACUAGAGUGAUGGAGGGGGAAGCGGAAUUCUCGGUGUAGCAGUGAAAUGCGUAGAUAUCGAGAGGAACACUCGUGGCGAAGGCGGGUUACUGGACAUUAACUGACGCUGAGGCACGAAAGCCAGGGGAGCGAAAGGGAUUAGAUACCCGUGUAGUC